rnacentral:lncRNA from 1 species
GAAACCGAAACCGCUGUGCUGUGGGCGCAGCGCCGAGAUUGAUUCACCUUCACCUGUGCUGCACUCCAGCUGACCCAAGUAGGAAGCCAGACGAGCUGUAAAACAUGAACGGAAGAGUGGAUUAUUUGGUCACUGAGGAAGAGAUCAAUCUUACCAGAGGGCCCUCAGGGCUGGGCUUCAACAUCGUCGGUGGGACAGAUCAGCAGUAUGUCUCCAACGACAGUGGCAUCUACGUCAGCCGCAUCAAAGAAAAUGGGGCUGCGGCCCUGGAUGGGCGGCUCCAGGAGGGUGAUAAGAUCCUUUCGGUAAAUGGCCAAGACCUAAAGAACCUGCUGCACCAGGAUGCUGUAGACCUCUUUCGUAAUGCAGGCUAUGCUGUGUCUCUGAGAGUGCAGCACAGGUUACAGGUGCAGAAUGGACCUAUAGGACAUCGAGGUGAAGGGGACCCAAGUGGUAUUCCCAUAUUUAUGGUGCUGGUGCCAGUGUUUGCCCUCACCAUGGUAGCAGCCUGGGCUUUCAUGAGAUACCGGCAACAACUUUGAAAAACUUGCUCUCUUUCAAUACUCCCAAUGAAGAUACAUUUCACUCACCCUCCACCCCUGCUAUUCUGCCAUGUCUUUCCCUCUCUCUGCAUAGCCAGAUUUGAAGUGACUGAUACCCACCCCAAACCUUGCUGUUCACAGUCUCCAAUUCUUCAUAUUCUAAUGGGAAAGUAAAGUUGCUGAUUGUUGGAGGUUCUUUUGGUCUUCGUGAGUUUUCUCAAAUCCGAUAUGAUGCUGUGAAGAGUAAAAUGGAUCCUGAGCUUGAAAAAAAACUGAAAGAGAAUAAAAUAUCUUUAGAGUCGGAAUAUGAGAAAAUCAAAGACUCCAAGUUUGAUGACUGGAAGAAUAUUCGAGGACCCAGGCCUUGGGAAGAUCCUGACCUCCUCCAAGGAAGAAAUCCAGAAAGCCUUAAGACUAAGACAACUUGACUCUGCUGAUUCUUUUUUCCUUUUUUUUUUUUUUAAAUAAAAAUAUUAUUAACUGGACUUCCUAAUAUAUACUUCUAUCAAGUGGAAAGGAAAUUCCAGGCCCAUGGAAACUUGGAUAUGGGUAAUUUGAUGACAAAUAAUCUUCACUAAAGGUCAUGUACAGGUUUUUAUACUUCCCAGCUAUUCCAUCUGUGGAUGAAAGUAACAAUGUUGGCCACGUAUAUUUUACACCUCGAAAUAAAAAAUGUGAAUACUGCUCCAAAAACAGAGUCACGUAUUCCACUCUCCAACUACCCACAUAUUCCUUUUGCAAUAGCCAUUAGGGCAUCAUUUUGAUAUUUCAUUCUGAUUUCUGAUUCUCUGAUUUCUGAUUCCUAAUGAGGACAGUAGGUCUGGAUCCAAAUUCUCACAGUAAAAUCAAGCAGUAAUUUUCUCUCAUAUCUAUUAGGGAAAGAAAAAUGAUCACAGUCUGCUAAGAGUCUUGAUUUUCUUUGUAAUGCCUCACAUAGUAUGAUAAUCAGUCUCCAAAGCAUCACAUGAUAAUUACAAUGAUACCAUUAACAUGUCAAGGAAAUUAUAUUAUUUAUGGUUGUCAAAAAUUAUGAAGUAGUGUAUGAUUAUAAGCAGAUAUGGCAAAUUUGUUCAGUAAAUCCAUAGAUGACUACAUUUUGAGAAAUACUAAGAUAAUACUAAAAAUUAUGCCUUAGCAUAAUUUGCAUGCAAAAUUGCCCUCUAGUGUUUUUGUUUUGUUUUGAGACAUAGUCUCGCUCUGUUCGCCCAGGCUGGAGUGCAGGGGCACGAUCUCUGCUCACUGCAAGCUCUGCUUCCCGGGUUCACACCAUUCUCCUGCCUCAGCAUCCUGAGUAGCUGGGACUACAGGCACAUGCUGUCACACCCGGCUAAUUUUUUGUAUUUAGUAGAGAUGGGGUUUCACCACGUUAGCCAGGAUGGUCUCCAUCUCCUGACCUUGUGAUCCGCCCACCUCGGCCUCACAAAUUGCUGGGAUUACAGGUGUGAGCCACCACGCCUGGCCGAAAGUUAGUUGUUUUGAACUCAUUUUCUCCUUUUUACCCCUGCCUUUAUCAGCUUCUACCUUCUGGUUUCAUGCUGAGUUCUAGUUGCCUAAAGUCUCCAUUGAAACACUCCUGUUAUAAUUGCCAUAAAAUCAUAAAUCCACUCCCCCUUUCUCCUCCUAGUCAAAAUUUGUAUUCUUUUCAGCAGGUUGGUUUUAAUAAAAAGUAAAUUAAGUUGAUUAUCUAGUGAUAAUUUGUGAUAGACAUGAUUCAUAAGAUAGUUAUCUGGGGGAGCAAUUGGAUUUCAGAGAAAAAAAGUCUCCACUUAU